AUUGAACGCUGGCGGCAGGCCUAACACAUGCCAGUCGAGCGGAUGAAGGGAGCUUGCUCCUGGAUUCAGCGGCGGACGGGUGAGUAAUGCCUAGGAAUCUGCCUGGUAGUGGGGGAUAACGUCCGGAAACGGGCGCUAAUACCGCAUACGUCCUGAGGGAGAAAGUGGGGGAUCUUCGGACCUCACGCUAUCAGAUGAGCCUAGGUCGGAUUAGCUAGUUGGUGGGGUAAAGGCCUACCAAGGCGACGAUCCGUAACUGGUCUGAGAGGAUGAUCAGUCACACUGGAACUGAGACACGGUCCAGACUCCUACGGGAGGCAGCAGUGGGGAAUAUUGGACAAUGGGCGAAAGCCUGAUCCAGCCAUGCCGCGUGUGUGAAGAAGGUCUUCGGAUUGUAAAGCACUUUAAGUUGGGAGGAAGGGAAGUAAGUUAAUACCUUGCUGUUUUGACGUUACCAUCAGAAUAAACACCGGCUAACUUCGUG
rnacentral:rRNA from 1 species